AAAAUACCAACCCUGUUCUCAAACCCACUGGAGAACUGCGAUCACUAGAGCAAAUCGAGGAUGUAGUCAAAACGCUGUGCCUUUCUCAUGUCGACGUUUCUUUUCCAAACUGGAAGAGUUGUACCUCCUUCUCUGAAGGCGUCUUCACAAAGUGAAUAUUAGAGCCUCUCAGACUUUCCGGGGAGGGACGCUCUUAAGUUUCCUCUUGUAUGCAUGGUUAUGGCUAGGAUGACGUUAUUUGGUGGACUCACAAACAAGACCCUUUUGCGGACUUUCAAAGUAAAGCCAGAUGUUAGUUGCUGCUUCCACAGAAACUAAAUGAAGUUUCAGUGUCCCCCUGCACUAAAGGCUAUGCACAAAACCAAAGCUUCCUCGGCGAGAAAACCUUUGGAGGAAGCAGUAGCGUGUGGUCAUCAAGGCAUGAGCUUGAGAGAGAGGAUCCAAGAUGGAAAAGUGAACAGAAGACGGUACCACACUAGAAUGUGUGUUCUCAUCUUAAAACGCAGACGUGGAAUAAUAUACAUGUGGGAAUGCAGGCUUUCCACGAGAACAAGCAGAAGGAGUCUGGUAUUUCCAGAAAGUCGCAGCAAAACUGCUACAAGGGAUGUGGACAUCCAUGGAUGCCCACAGACAGAAGAAAUGAUGGCCAUGUGUGGGGAUGCCCUUGACGUUGACAUGGUGCAGAACCCCGUUUAUAGAGGACUCCCUCCAGCAGAGUUACGUCUCUAGAAAGACCACCAGCUGCUUUCUGGAAGCUGCAGAGGGACAGGUUACGUCUCCAGGGAAGUAAAUCGUAUUGAGUUCCAUAGCUGCCUUUAUGAAUGGGACCAUGUCACCAAGAGGGAAACAUGAAGUUUAGGUGGGGCCAUGUCAUCGCGGUGGGGCUUUGUCGUUGCAGGAGGAGGGGGUCAGCCCCACGUGGUGCCCAGGGUGGGUGUAGAGGAAGAGACUCCAGGUGGGGCCGACUUCGAGGGAAGGAAGAUGGAGCAGGCAGAGAAUCCCCCCAUCCCUCCCACAAGACCCCCACCAGCAACACCUCCAUUUGGGGUCCCGGGAGAUUCUUGUGGCCUCUCUGAGGACGUCUGUCCUGGUCCUAAAACUGUGGCCGGCUUAGCUGGGCACCACCUGACGUUUGCUCUCCCUUCCUCCCUGCCUUGCUCCCCAUUUCCCCCCACUUUCGCUUUCCUGCAGACUGCAGUUCCCAAUAAGGCGUAGCACCCACGCUUUGGCUUCAGGCUCUGUCUCCUAGGGAAUUCAGGGUAAGACAGAGUGUUUUGUUAUUUUAAAAUUUGAAAUCUUCGAGAAGGCGUAUAACCCUGAUGCCUGUAUUCGUGACCAACGACCUAAACCGUUUCAGUUUGAAGAAAAGGCAGAAAGUAACCUUGGGCCUUAGUUAAGAGUGAGCUAAGGGUUCGCUGCAACCUAUAAAUUGACCCCUAGGUGGCGCGAUAACCACAUCCUACAGUGACUGGACAGGUUGUGCGGAGCAAAGAACCGGGCCUCCUUCAAUUCAAGUAUUUUUCUGAUUGAAUCCUGUGCUAAGUGCUGGAGCUGCAGAGAGUUCCUAGAAUAAAGGAAGCAGUGCUUAUGUAAGCA
rnacentral:lncRNA from 1 species